ensembl:lncRNA
AAGCACGCUGCCCGUGUAGGUUGGUUCCUGACUCCCGACCCUGACCUUUUCUUCCCUCAUCCAAGGAAACCCUUGUCUCCAUCCCUCCCACUCAUUUCAUCUUCAGGGCCCUUAUCUCCUCCUCAAAUUAUAAAUUUGUUCCAAAUCUCUUUCUCACUGAACUGUAAGCAACAAGAGGCCAGGCUCCCGUCUUCAUUUGCUCACUCUACUUUUUUUCACUUUUUCCAAGGCCCCGCAUAAUGACUGGAAAAGGACAGUUGUUAGAGAAACAAACAAGCAAGCAAACUACUAGAAAACUCCCUGUAUUUUCAACUUUCAUUACUGACUGUACUUUUUUUCAAGUACCAACAAUCAAGAUAUUUAGAUUGCAUGGAGGAACAAAAGUUUAAUUCCUCGUUUAAAAAAUUCCCUGUGUUGCAUUAAUUAGGAAUGUGGCAGCAAUAUGUUUUCUUCUAGUUCAUUUUUUUUCCUCGAGACAGACAUAUUUCAGUUAUGUACUGUGGCCAUCCAGUUUUUUGUGAGCUACUUGGAGUGUAACCGCUGUCUCUAACAUCAUUUUGAUGUCAAAAGGGAACUUACUGAGCCUGGCAUCGUUCUAAAUACUUUUGCAUAUUUAAAGCUAUUCCGUCUUCACAUAGCUAUGUAAAAUUGAUAUUUUUAAUUAUAAUUUUGCGGAAAAAGAAAUUAGAGGGGAAAUUAGAGAAGAUCAGAGAAGUUAAGUAGCUUGCCAAAGUCACACAGCUAGUGAAUAAAAUUAUUAGGAAGCUCUGUAUAACUCUAAAGCCCAUGCUUUCUCUGUCGUAUGAACUGACUUACAAGUAAAUAUUUUGAGACGGAGAAAAGAAGACCUCCUAAUUAAGUUCUAUUUUGGAUUAGUGGGAUCAACCUUCUGAGGAAACCAACAGUAAAAGUUGGACAAAAUCGUCGAUAAUGGAACUAAAACUUUUGUUCAGCAGAUUGGCCACCAGUUUUCACUGACAAAAUCCCACGUAGUUUUGGUGUGGAUGUAGCGACCGACUGUGUUUAACCAAAGAUAUGCCAAUCUGCUGUAAGUUUACUCACCAAUCAAAGCCAACGAUUCAAACCUGAUGACACGGAUGGUCAAAGGCUGGGAGCCAAGGCUGGCGGGCAGGUGUCUGAGGGAGCCUCUAGGCUCCGCAGAGGUGUGGAGCAGAGCCCCUGCUAGAUAUCACCCUGUGAUGACCCUGAGUAUUAGGGGCUGGGAAACUUGUCAAAAAAUAUGGAACUCUUAUGAAAGCAAUUCAGCCACUCCAGUUGAAUGGCAUCGUCUCUGCAGAGGGGCAUGUUUGCUUGACCACCAACCAUACGGCGGCUCUCAUCUCACAGUUUGCACACGGACGCCCCAUAGUUGUAUAUUCUUCGUUGUGGUAUGUGGGAUGCUGCCUCAGCGAGGUGUGAUGAGCAGUGCCAUGUCCGCACCCAGGAUUUGAACCAACGAAACACUGGGCCGCCUGCAGCGGAGCGUGCUUUUCUUACUAACCUGUAAGGAAUGACUUCGUGGGACUUCACUCCUAUGCCUUAGCACUUAGGAUGAAAAUAUUGCGGCCAAGGAGGGCCAAGCUUGAUUAAAGGACAUGAAGAUGAGCUAAUGGAAGCAUAUACU